GGGAGGAAAAGAAACCAACCGGGAUUGCCUUAGUAACGGCGAGUGAAGCGGCAAAAGCUCAAAUUUGAAAUCUGGUACCUUCGGUGCCCGAGUUGUAAUUUGGAGAGGGCAACUUUGGGGCCGUUCCUUGUCUAUGUUCCUUGGAACAGGACGUCAUAGAGGGUGAGAAUCCCGUGUGGCGAGGAGUGCGGUUCUUUGUAAAGUGCCUUCGAAGAGUCGAGUUGUUUGGGAAUGCAGCUCUAAGUGGGUGGUAAAUUCCAUCUAAAGCUAAAUAUUGGCGAGAGACCGAUAGCGAACAAGUACAGUGAUGGAAAGAUGAAAAGAACUUUGAAAAGAGAGUGAAAAAGUACGUGAAAUUGUUGAAAGGGAAGGGCAUUUGAUCAGACAUGGUGUUUUGUGCCCUCUGCUCCUUGUGGGUAGGGGAAUCUCGCAUUUCACUGGGCCAGCAUCAGUUUUGGUGGCAGGAUAAAUCCAUAGGAAUGUAGCUUGCCUCGGUAAGUAUUAUAGCCUGUGGGAAUACUGCCAGCUGGGACUGAGGACUGCGACGUAAGUCAAGGAUGCUGGCAUAAUGGUUAUAUGCCGCCC
rnacentral:rRNA from 1 species